rnacentral:rRNA from 1 species
GCGGCCGCGAAAUUCGCCCUUAGAGUUUGAUCCUGGCUCAGGAUGAACGCUAGCGGCAGGCCUAAUACAUGCAAGUCGAGGGGCAGCAUCAUCGCUUGCGAUGGAUGGCGACCGGCGCACGGGUGCGUAACGCGUAUGCAACCUACCCACAACUGGAGGAUAGCCCGGAGAAAUUCGGAUUAAUACUCCAUAAUGCAGGGGUACUACCUGGUACUAUUUGCUAAAGAUUUAUUGGUUGUGGAUGGGCAUGCGUCUGAUUAGAUAGUUGGUGAGGUAACGGCUCACCAAGUCGACGAUCAGUAGGGGGUCUGAGAGGAUGAUCCCCCACACUGGCACUGAGAUACGGGCCAGACUCCUACGGGAGGCAGCAGUAGGGAAUAUUGGGCAAUGGAGGCAACUCUGACCCAGCCAUGCCGCGUGAAGGAAGAAGGCCUUCUGGGUUGUAAACUUCUUUUAUACAGGAAGAAAAAGGUCAUGCGUGACCAAUUGACGGUACUGUAUGAAUAAGCACCGGCUAACUCCGUGCCAGCAGCCGCGGUAAUACGGAGGGUGCAAGCGUUGUCCGGAUUUAUUGGGUUUAAAGGGUGCGCAGGCGGAGCGCUAAGUCAGUGGUGAAAUCCCGCAGCUCAACUGCGGAACUGCCAUUGAUACUGGCGCCCUUGA